AACGAACGCUGGCGGCAGGCUUAACACAUGCAAGUCGAACGCCCCGCAAGGGGAGUGGCAGACGGGUGAGUAACGCGUGGGAACAUACCCUUUUCUACGGAAUAGCUCUGGGAAACUGGAAUUAAUACCGUAUACGCCCUACGGGGGAAAGAUUUAUCGGGGAAGGAUUGGCCCGCGUUGGAUUAGCUAGUUGGUGGGGUAAAGGCCUACCAAGGCGACGAUCCAUAGCUGGUCUGAGAGGAUGAUCAGCCACAUUGGGACUGAGACACGGCCCAAACUCCUACGGGAGGCAGCAGUGGGGAAUAUUGGACAAUGGGCGCAAGCCUGAUCCAGCCAUGCCGCGUGAGUGAUGAAGGCCUUAGGGUUGUAAAGCUCUUUCACUGAUGAAGAUAAUGACGGUAGUCGGAGAAGAAGCCCCGGCUAACUUCGU
rnacentral:rRNA from 1 species